rnacentral:rRNA from 1 species
AGAGUUUGAUCAUGGCUCAGAUUGAACGCUGGCGGCAGGCCUAACACAUGCAAGUCGAGCGGUAGCACAGAGAGCUUGCUCUCGGGUGACGAGCGGCGGACGGGUGAGUAAUGUCUGGGAAACUGCCUGAUGGAGGGGGAUAACUACUGGAAACGGUAGCUAAUACCGCAUAACGUCGCAAGACCAAAGUGGGGGACCUUCGGGCCUCAUGCCAUCAGAUGUGCCCAGAUGGGAUUAGCUAGUAGGUGGGGUAACGGCUCACCUAGGCGACGAUCCCUAGCUGGUCUGAGAGGAUGACCAGCCACACUGGAACUGAGACACGGUCCAGACUCCUACGGGAGGCAGCAGUGGGGAAUAUUGCACAAUGGGCGCAAGCCUGAUGCAGCCAUGCCGCGUGUGUGAAGAAGGCCUUCGGGUUGUAAAGCACUUUCAGCGGGGAGGAAGGCGAUAAGGUUAAUAACCUCAGCGAUUGACGUUACCCGCAGAAGAAGCACCGGCUAACUCCGUGCCAGCAGCCGCGGUAAUACGGAGGGUGCAAGCGUUAAUCGGAAUUACUGGGCGUAAAGCGCACGCAGGCGGUCUGUCAAGUCGGAUGUGAAAUCCCCGGGCUCAACCUGGGAACUGCAUUCGAAACUGGCAGGCUAGAGUCUUGUAGAGGGGGGUAGAAUUCCAGGUGUAGCGGUGAAAUGCGUAGAGAUCUGGAGGAAUACCGGUGGCGAAGGCGGCCCCCUGGACAAAGACUGACGCUCAGGUGCGAAAGCGUGGGGAGCAAACAGGAUUAGAUACCCUGGUAGUCCACGCCGUAAACGAUGUCGAUUUGGAGGUUGUGCCCUUGAGGCGUGGCUUCCGGAGCUAACGCGUUAAAUCGACCGCCUGGGGAGUACGGCCGCAAGGUUAAAACUCAAAUGAAUUGACGGGGGCCCGCACAAGCGGUGGAGCAUGUGGUUUAAUUCGAUGCAACGCGAAGAACCUUACCUGGUCUUGACAUCCACAGAACUUUCCAGAGAUGGAUUGGUGCCUUCGGGAACUGUGAGACAGGUGCUGCAUGGCUGUCGUCAGCUCGUGUUGUGAAAUGUUGGGUUAAGUCCCGCAACGAGCGCAACCCUUAUCCUUUGUUGCCAGCGGUCCGGCCGGGAACUCAAAGGAGACUGCCAGUGAUAAACUGGAGGAAGGUGGGGAUGACGUCAAGUCAUCAUGGCCCUUACGACCAGGGCUACACACGUGCUACAAUGGCAUAUACAAAGAGAAGCGACCUCGCGAGAGCAAGCGGACCUCAUAAAGUAUGUCGUAGUCCGGAUUGGAGUCUGCAACUCGACUCCAUGAAGUCGGAAUCGCUAGUAAUCGUAGAUCAGAAUGCUACGGUGAAUACGUUCCCGGGCCUUGUACACACCGCCCGUCACACCAUGGGAGUGGGUUGCAAAAGAAGUAGGUAGCUUAACCUUCGGGAGGGCGCUUACCACUUUGUGAUUCAUGACUGGGGUGAAGUCGUAACAAGGUAACCGUAGGGGAACCUGCGGUUGGAUCACCU